rnacentral:rRNA from 1 species
CUGAAACUUAAGCAUAUCAAUAAGCGGAGGGAAAAGAAACCAACAGGGAUUGCCCUAGUAACGGCGAGUGAAGCGGCAACAGCUCAAAUUUGAAAUCUGGCUCUUUUAGAGUCCGAGUUGUAAUUUGCAGAGGGCGCUUUGGCGUUGGCAGCGGUCCAAGUUCCUUGGAACAGGACGUCACAGAGGGUGAGAAUCCCGUACGUGGUCGCUGGCCUUCGCCGUGUAAAGCCCCUUCGACGAGUCGAGUUGUUUGGGAAUGCAGCUCUAAAUGGGAGGUAAAUUUCUUCUAAAGCUAAAUACUGGCCAGAGACCGAUAGCGCACAAGUAGAGUGAUCGAAAGAUGAAAAGCACUUUGGAAAGAGAGUCAAAUAGCACGUGAAAUUGUUGAAAGGGAAGCGCUUGCAGCCAGACUUGCCUGUAGUUGCUCAUCCGGGCUUUUGCCCGGUGCACUCUUCUAUAGGCAGGCCAGCAUCAGUUUGGGCGGUUGGAUAAAGGUCUCUGUCAUGUACCUCUCUUCGGGGAGGCCUUAUAGGGGAGACGACAUGCAACCAGCCUGGACUGAGGUCCGCGCAUUUGCUAGGAUGCUGGCGUAAUGGCUGUAAGCGGCCCGUCUUGAAACACGGACCAAGGAGUCUAACAUCUAUGCGAGUGUUUGGGUGUCAAGCCCGAACGCGUAAUGAAAGUGAACGGAGGUGGGAACCCUUUAGGGUGCACCAUCGACCGAUCCUGAUGUCUUCGGAAGGAUUUGAGUAAGAGCAUGGCUGUUGGGACCCGAAAGAUGGUGAACUAUGCUUGAAUAGGGUGAAGCCAGAGGAAACUCUGGUGGAGGCUCGCAGCGGUUCUGACGUGCAAAUCGAUCGUCAAAUUUGGGCAUAGGGGCG